rnacentral:rRNA from 1 species
GAUGAACGCUGGCGGCGUGCCUAAUACAUGCAAGUCGAGCGAACGGACGAGAAGCUUGCUUCUCUGAUGUUAGCGGCGGACGGGUGAGUAACACGUGGAUAACCUACCUAUAAGACUGGGAUAACUUCGGGAAACCGGAGCUAAUACCGGAUAAUAUUUUGAACCGCAUGGUUCAAAAGUGAAAGACGGUCUUGCUGUCACUUAUAGAUGGAUCCGCGCUGCAUUAGCUAGUUGGUAAGGUAACGGCUUACCAAGGCAACGAUGCAUAGCCGACCUGAGAGGGUGAUCGGCCACACUGGAACUGAGACACGGUCCAGACUCCUACGGGAGGCAGCAGUAGGGAAUUUUCCGAGAGGGGCGAAAGCCUGACGGAGCAACGCCGCGUGAGUGAUGAAGGUCGUCGGAUCGUAAAACUCUGUUAUUAGGGAAGAACAUAUGUGUAAGUAACUGUGCACAUCGUGACGGUACCUAAUCAGAGAGCCACGGCUAACUACG